GUGGCGAACGGGUGAGUAACACGUGGGUAAUCUGCCCUGUACUCUGGGAUAAGCCUGGGAAACUGGGUCUAAUACCGGAUAUGACCUUUCACCGCAUGGUGGGGGGUGGAAAGUUCCGGCGGUAUGGGAUGAACCCGCGGCCUAUCAGCUUGUUGGUGGGGUAAUGGCCUACCAAGGCGACGACGGGUAGCCGGCCUGAGAGGGUGACCGGCCACACUGGGACUGAGACACGGCCCAGACUCCUACGGGAGGCAGCAGUGGGGAAUAUUGCACAAUGGGCGCAAGCCUGAUGCAGCGACGCCGCGUGAGGGAUGACGGCCUUCGGGUUGUAAAGCUCUUUUGUCCGGGAAGAUAAUGACUGUACCGGAAGAAUAAGCCCCGGCUAACUUCGUGCCAGCAGCCGCGGUAAUACGAAGGGGGCUAGCGUUGCUCGGAAUCACUGGGCGUAAAGGGCGCGUAGGCGGACUCUUAAGUCGGGGGUGA
rnacentral:rRNA from 1 species